rnacentral:misc_RNA from 1 species
CUCAAUAGCAGCAUUUCCAACCUCCACUCUGAGAGCAGGAUAUUGCUUUAACUCCGGAGUCUCAUUGAUAGACUUGUGAACCAGCUCUUUCAAUAUGGCAUGAACCUGGAGAUUUGACAAAAAAUGCGUACGUAUAAGCCUGCAGUGCAGAAUUUAAAAAUUGCAAAUUGCACAUAUAGGAAAUCAACUACAGCGCACCCAGAAAAUUAAAUUCACAAACCAAUACUCUAGAUAUUUACUCAUUUACGAGAACUAUUAAAAAAUUAAGUUUUCAACUAAGAACCAAAGUUUAUUAAGCAGCCACAUAACCUAUUUUCACAUGUCUACAUCUUUUCACACCAUUUUCAUUAUGGAGAAUUCAUGAGGGAAAAACAAAAUCACCAAAACUGUACAUAUUCUUUUAGCUAUUACUACAUGUCACUUCUAGAUGGUCAGAAUGAAUCAAAUCUUCAUGGAUCAAAAAUAGAAAUAAGGUAAUGCAAAGUAGAAAUUUUUUGUUUCUAAUUUCCACGCAUACCGCAUCAACAGCAGCCUCAGCA